GAUGAACGCUGGCGGCGUGCCUAAUACAUGCAAGUCGAGCGAACGGACGAGAAGCUUGCUUUUCUGACGUUAGCGGCGGACGGGUGAGUAACACGUGGAUAACCUACCUAUAAGACUGGGAUAACUUCGGGAAACCGGAGCUAAUACCGGAUAAUAUUUUGAACCGCAUGGUUCAAAAGUGAAAGACGGUCUUGCUGUCACUUAUAGAUGGAUCCGCGCUGCAUUAGCUAGUUGGUAAGGUAACGGCCUACCAAGGCAACGAUGCAUAGCCGACCUGAGAGGGUGAUCGGCCACACUGGAACUGAGACACGGUCCAGACUCCUACGGGAGGCAGCAGUAGGGAAUCUUCCGCAAUGGGCGAAAGCCUGACGGAGCAACGCCGCGUGAGUGAUGGAGGUCUUCGGAUCGUAAAACUCUGUUAUUAGGGAAGAACAUAUGUGUAAGUAACUAUGCACGUCUUGACGGUACCUAAUCAGAAAGCCACGGCUAACUACGUG
rnacentral:rRNA from 1 species